AGAGUUUGAUCAUGGCUCAGGACAAACGCUGGCGGCGUGCCUAACACAUGCAAGUCGCACGUCCUCUGGUGCUUUUGCAGCGGAGGGAGUGGCGGACGGGUGAGUAACACGUGGGUGACCUACCCUUAGGUGAGGAAUACCGGCGAGAAAUCGCCGACAAGACCGCAUAGGCUCUCGCAAGAGAGCAAAGCUCCUUGCGUAAGCAAGGGGCGCCAAAGGAUGGGCCUGCGGCCGAUUAGCUAGUUGGUGGGGUAAGGGCUCACCAAGGCGACGAUCGGUAGCUGGUCUGAGAAGACGAUCAGCCACACUGGGAUUGAGAACGGCCCAGACUCCUACGGGGGGCAGCAGUGAGGAAUUUUCCGCAAUGGACGCAAGUCUGACGGAGCAACGCCGCGUGCAGGAGGAAGGUCUUCGGAUUGUAAACUGCUUUUAUCAGGGAAGAGAACGGACGGUACCUGAUGAAGAAGCCCCGGCUAACUACGUGCCAGCAGCCGCGGUAAUACGUAGGGGGCGAGCGUUGUCCGGAAUUAUUGGGCGUAAAGGGCACGCAGGCGGUCUGCCAAGUUCGGGGUGAAAGUCACCAGCUUAACUGGUGAAGGACUUCGAAAACUGGUGGGCUUGAGAGCGAGAGAGGGACAUGGAACUCCGGGCGGAGCAGUGAAAUGCGUAGAUAUCCGGAAGAACACCAAAGGCGAAGGCAGGGUCCUGGCUCGUUUCUGACGCUGAGGUGCGAAAGCUAGGGGAGCGAACGGGAUUAGAUACCCUAGUAGUCC
rnacentral:rRNA from 1 species